rnacentral:rRNA from 1 species
AGCGCGGGCGGUGCGGCAAGUCUGAUGUGAAAGCCCGGGGCUCAACCCCGGUACUGCAUUGGAAACUGUCGUACUAGAGUGUCGGAGGGGUAAGCGGAAUUCCUAGUGUAGCGGUGAAAUGCGUAGAUAUUAGGAGGAACACCAGUGGCGAAGGCGGCUUACUGGACGAUAACUGACGCUGAGGCUCGAAAGCGUGGGGAGCAAACA